rnacentral:antisense_RNA from 1 species
CAAACGUCGAUCUCACCCCUCAGUUUCUGCCAGAGAAAAAGGAAAAGUCACCGAGAGGCCUGACCCUGACGGGCGGGGGGAGAUGUGCGUGCGGAGUAGCGGGAAGCGACUGAGGAACGGGGACUGGGCAGCAUUUGAAUGGAUGCGGGUGCCGCUGGCACCCGGGAAGACGCUGGGGGCCGGCGCUGUAGAGCCAGGCAUGGGCUGGGAUGUGUUUGGAUUCCAAUCUGGGCCUGACACCAGUUCAGUGACCUCGGGAAGUUCCCCAACCCUCCGGGCCUGUUUCCUCCCUCUGAAGUGGCGACAGUAAUAGAACCGACCUCGUAGGCUCAUCGGGAGGUCCUGAUGGGAGAACCCAUGCAACUUGCCACCACAGAGCCAGGCCCGCGGCGGUUGGCGCCUGAUGGGUAUUAAAGACGAGUCGGGAAAGAAGAGCAGGUUGACAGACUGGAUGCUGCUAUGAUAAUCUGCCUCAGAAAAAUGCCGGACUGUUGUUUGCAAGCUGGUUAAGUGAGCAAAUCUUGGGAAAAUUUCAAGUCAUGGAAUAAGGCCAUACCCUGUGGGUAGGGUAUAAAGGUUUCUCUCUAUAUAGUAGGUGUUCUCAUUAUCAGUCAUUCAAAGAAAAAGAGAAUCCUCACCAGAAAAACUUGGAACAUGGAACAGAUGGAAGGUGGCACUUCUGGAUAUGCCUUUUUACAUCUGAACUUGGAAGAGUUAAGAAUUGUUGAAGGCCCUUCUCACAGAUCAGGGGAAAUAGCUUCUGUCACAGAGCUGCCUACUCCAGGAGAACCAAAAAUGAAAGUAAACACUCAUAUUUUGUAAGUCUGUUCCUGAACUUCCGUCAAUCAAGUUUAAUCUAAAUCAAGGAUUCAAACUGAGAAGCAUUUAAAGACCAAGAAAA